GUGCUUGCUUCAGCAGCACAUACACUAAAACUGGAACGAUACAGAGAAGAUUAGCAUGUCCCCUGCACAAGGAUAACACACAAAUUGGUGAAGCGUUCCAUAUUUUU